GUGACUGAGGCAUGCACUGGGGACACGGGAGGACGGCGUCUCCAGGAGCCCCACUGACCGGCCAGCAAGGACUGCCAACACGAGUGACCGAGGGCCUGUCUAGUCUCCUUUACCCAGAAGAUGAGUAAAAGCUCCACCAUGAAGAACCCCAGAAGGGUGUCCUACGAUGCUAAUGUGCUGAAGACAUUUUGGGAGAAAAAAAUCGAGCUUCACACGAAACAACUGCAGGAUGAGGACCGGAGGGUCCGCAGGAGUGCCCUGGACAGGCUCCGCGGUGAGUGGGCUCGGAAGCUGGAAAGAAGGAACCAGAUGCUGCAGAGCAGCCGGGAGGCAGCCCCGCGGCCCCCCCUGCCCGGCACCCCCGGCCGCCACACCCAGGACCAGCUGGCAGCCUGAGGCCAGGACCUGCCUCCUCUGACGGCCCCGCAGUGGUCCUCCCAGCAGCCGGACCCCUUCACAGUUUUGUGUCUCUAGCGUGAUGCGAACACCCAAUAAAAUCCAAGAAAAGUAAA